UUUCGGAAUGUGCAUGCAUUCCUGCACUUUCGCUUGUGGUUGUCUUUCCUGAGGUGUAUACUCAAUCAUUAGAAAUGAAGCGAAAUAAUUGUUUCAGUGUGGAUAUUACUAAAGAGGCCUGCUUCCCCAGGAAGGAACUAAUCAUCAGUGGAAGGGAUUCCAAUCCUGAUCAUGAAAAAGAAAAGGAAAAUUUUCGCUUCGAGGUCAGUAUGUCAAUAAGAAAGUAGGAAGAUGUGAACUGACAACCUCUUCUGAAAAAGGAAUAAAAACGAAGGAAUCUA